GGCCUGAUGGUCUAGUAGUAUGAUUCUCCCUUCGGGUUGUUGUAAUCCCCACGAAAGUGGAAAAAUGGGAGAGGUCCCGGGUUCAAUUCCCGGUCAGGCCC